rnacentral:rRNA from 1 species
UACGGAGGGAGCGAGCGUUGUUCGGAAUUACUGGGCGUAAAGCGUGCGCAGGCGGCUUGGCAAGUUGGAAGUGAAAUCCCAGGGCUUAACCUUGGAAUUGCUUUCAAAACUGCUAAGCUAGAGUAUCGGAGAGGUUGGCGGAAUUCCCAGUGUAGAGGUGAAAUUCGUAGAUAUUGGGAGGAACACCAGUGGCGUAAGCGGCCAACUAGACGAUAACUGACGCUCAGGCACGAAAGCGUGGGGAUCAAACAGG